ACCUGGCUGGCUCAGUCGGUGGAGCAUGUGACUCUUGAUCGCAAGGUUGUAGGUUCAAGCCCCAAGUUGGGUG
rfam:Ailuropoda melanoleuca scaffold579_11, whole genome shotgun sequence.